rnacentral:misc_RNA from 1 species
GCAAAGAUGGGAAUAGUCAUUCCAAAGAUAAAGACUCUGGCGGAUCUCAUCAAAUAAAGCUACUUGACCAUCCAUAGGAUCAUGGAACAAGAAGAAUCUUUCCGAUGUGCUGGCUACUUUCCAGGAGUCUGUGAGACUCCGCAGCCUCAGAUAAUGGAAAAUGAUUAUAGACCACAGGCUUCACCUUGCCUUCAACAAUUGCAGGCCAAACAUUCUUCUCCACCUCAUU